UACGUAGGGUGCGAGCGUUGUCCGGAAUCACUGGGCGUAAAGCGCACGUAGGCGGCUUGCUAAGUCAGGGGUGAAAUCCUGGAGCUCAACUCCAGAACUGCCUUUGAUACUGGCGAUCUUGAGUCCGGGAGAGGUGAGUGGAACUGCGAGUGUAGAGGUGAAAUUCGUAGAUAUUCGCAAGAACACCAGUGGCGAAGGCGGCUCACUGGCCCGGUACUGACGCUGAGGUGCGAAAGCGUGGGGAGCAAACAGG
rnacentral:rRNA from 1 species